AGCUUUGUGCAGUGGCAGUAUCGUAGCCAAUGAGGUUUAUCCGAGGCGCAAUUAUUACUAAUUGAAAACUCUUCCCAAUACCCCGCCAUGAUGACUUGCAGUAUCAUCAGCAUUGGCAAUUUUUGAUGGUCCCUACUGGGA
rnacentral:snRNA from 1 species